UUCAUUGCCAGAUCCCCAGUCUGCUGCAAAUGUGCCACGUCAAGACUGGAAAUCACAGCACUUCAGUGUGUUUCAGUUUUGCACACUAGGGAAUAAGAAACGCUAAGGGACACUGUGAAAAAGGAGGACUGCAGAAUAAUGCGGGGAAGACAUUCUGGUAAGGCCUACUUUGGAAGAACACCUGGCCUAUGACCUGGCAAACCUAGGUGACUCCCCCCCCCUUCCUCCAGUCAUCACUGCAAGAAAGAUGGAGCUCUGAUGAUUUACUAAAACCUAUGCAAGAAAUGAGCGAGGUAUACUACCUAGAUGUGUACUACUUAGAGAAGUGUACAAGAGCAUAGUUGAAGUCGGUCAUUUUUUUCUUUUUCUUUUCUUUUUUUUUUUUUUUAAAUUUAAAAUAAAGUUUACUUUUGCCCACAAACUCAAAAGGUAAAUUUAAUAUUUUUUUACUUGUAGCAAUCAGUAUAAAUAUCUAAGGAGUAUAUUGCUUUCUUUUAAUGCAGAAGAGGCUUGCUAGUAUGUAUUCUGAAUAGCUCUCGUUAUGAACUAUUAAUCUGAAGAUCAAUUUUAAGAAAAUACUUUCUCUUAAAGUAAUAAAAUAAUAUAAAUGAAUGCAUGAAUAUUAUUUUAAAUUAUUGUAAAAUAUAUCGCUGUUGGGAUAACUGUACUUUGAUUUUCUAUGCAACUGAAACUUCUUUGCAAGUAAUCUAUGCUCUGUGUACUAAUGAAAACUGGGAGGGAUCCCAUAGGGAAUAUAUGACUACUCUAUGCUUUGCUUCUGCCAUGUAGCAUACAAAAUAUUUGAUUGUUUAGGAAAAAUUACCUCUGAAAGUGCAGGAUGUAAUGGGGAAAAGUAAUCCAAAUCAAUCAAUAAAUAAAACAGAACAAACAGCUUUCCGCCCCAUACCUGCCUGGCUAUUGCUUAUAAGCGAUCGGCACCGAUUGAUUGUUACCGCUGAUGUAUAGUUUGCUUUGCUGAUAUUUCUUCUAACAAUCUAACAUCUUCUAACAAAAUGAUAAGUUACUUUGUCCUAAAUCCCACUGAUAGAAAAGGAAUUUGUAAACGAAUGCAGAAGUUUGCUUUGGUGAAUUUCCAGCUGUCCUGGUAGGGGAAAAAAACCCUCAGGCUGAAUGAAAUCCCCACGGACAGAAUAAUACAAAAAGUCUGGGCUGCAAUCUGAUACCAGCUGAACUCCAGAGUCAGCUCCCCUAAAGUUAGCACUAGUAACAAACUACUGCAACCAGAAAAAAAAAGAAAAAAAUAAAAAAAAAUUUAAAGAAAAUAAAAAAAACCCACCUAUAUGGUGCUCAUUAUGGCCAGGAAGGCUUGCAAUAGCUGCACUAUAAAAAGAAUUAGCAGAAAUAAGCAGCCAUUAGUACAAUUAGCUGGCGAUUAUGCAGAAUGUGUAUUAUAUUCCAGACAGCCUUGACGCCGUGCAAUUGUUAAAAAUAUGUAUAUUAUCAUUACCUUUCUCACUGCUCCUUCAGUAAUCAAUAGAAGUCCUAUUGGGAAGACAUGGCCGUGUAGCAUUAGUGUGACUGUACUUAUACUGCUUGCCUUACAGCCUGCAAAGCAACAAGCACUGUCAUUUCCCUUACCCUCCCAAAAAAGCUUUUGCAAUUUGACUUAAAGAAUGAUUAUUUCUUGUAAUUGUAGAUGCACUGCCAGGUUGUCCACCCUCUCUUCCCUUAUUUCACCAAAGAUUAUCUUCAGUGUUAAAUUAGUGGGUUUUCAUCCUUUGUAGUCUGAAGGAAUUUUUACUCUCAUUCUACUUUAAAGUGAAAUUACAAGCAAGUUAAAUAGCCAAGCUGAA